rnacentral:rRNA from 1 species
CAAUAGCGUAUAUUUAAGUUGUUGCAGUUAAAAAGCUCGUAGUUGGAUUUCGGAUGGGAUCUGCCGGUCCGUCUUUGGGAUGUGUACUGGUAGGUCCUAUCUUGUUGUCGGGGACCAGCUCCUGGGCUUCACUGUCCGGGACUGGGAGCCGACGAAGUUACUUUGAGUAAAUUAGAGUGUUCAAAGCAAGCCUACGCACUGAAUAUAUUAGCAUGGAAUAACACGAUAGGACUCUGGCUUAUCUUGUUGGUCUGUGAGACCAGAGUAAUGAUUAAGAGGGACAGUCGGGGACAUUCGUAUUUCAUUGUCAGAGGUGAAAUUCUUGGAUUUAUGAAAGACGGACUUCUGCGAAAGCAUUUGUCAAGGAUGUUUUCAUUAA